UACAGAGGGGCGAGCGUUGUUCGGAAUUACUGGGCGUAAAGGGCGCGUAGGCGGCCUUCUAAGUCGAACGUGAAAUCCCCGGGCUCAACCCGGGAACUGCGUCCGAUACUGGGAGGCUUGAAUCCGGGAGAGGGAUGUGAAAUUCCAGGUGUAGCGGUGAAAUGCGUAGAUAUCGGGAGGAACACCAGUGGCGAAGGCGGCUUCCUGGCCUGUUCUUGACGCUGA
rnacentral:rRNA from 1 species